AAUAGAUACCCAGGUAGUCCAAGCUGUAAACGAUGCUCGCUAGGUGUGGCGACUGGCUACGAGCCAGUGCUGUGCCGUAGGGAAGCCGAGAAGCGAGCCGCCUGGGAAGUACGUCCACAAGGAUGAAACUUAAAGGAAUUGGCGGGGGAGCACUACAACCGGAGGAGCCUGCGGUUUAAUUGGACUCAACGCCGGACAUCUCACCAGCACCGACAGUGUGCGAUGAAGAUCAGUGUGAUGAGCUUAUUGGAGCCACUGAGAGGAGGUGCAUGGCCGCCGUCAGCUCGUACCGUGAGGCGUCCUGUUAAGUCAGGCAACGAGCGAGACCCGCAUCCUUAAUUGCCAGCAGUACCCUUGUGGUAGCUGGGGUACAUUAGGGAGACUGCCGUGGCCAACACGGAGGAAGGAACGGGCAACGGUAGGUCAGUAUGCCCCGAAUGUGCUGGGCUACACGCGGGCUACAAUGGCCGGGACAGUGGGACGCACCCCGGAGAGGGGGCGCUAAUCUCCUAAACCCGGUCGUAGGUUC
rnacentral:rRNA from 1 species